rnacentral:tRNA from 2 species
UAAUAAGAAGCUAAAAGCAAUCAGUUUCGACCUGAAGACAGGUAAAUUACCCUUAUUAA